rnacentral:lncRNA from 1 species
AAUAUUCAAAAAAUAGAGAUUAGCUACAAAAUAAUUUAAAAAAUGUCAACGAGUCGAUCAAGCCGAGGCACGGAUAUCUCGCUCUCUUUAAGUAGAUUCAAGUCCUCUGCGUUUGGCAAAGCCUUUGAACCGAUGCAGCAGAGCACUGACUUGUCCCCUCCAGAAUACAACGGCUCGACUCUCGUCGUGUGGCUUCACCAACUUUGCACAAGUAGAUGAGCCCAAAGCUCCACCAAAAGAGACACCUUUUUUUGACAUUCUCUCUCUCAAGUAUAAUUAAAAUAGCUUGUUGUUUGAUGAGUUGUAUGUAAGUGAAUAGAGAAGA